ACUCCGUGGGAGUGGCUAAUUCUUCAGGCGUCGUCUGACAGGAUUUUGCAGAGGCUGCCGCCAUCUUCUAGCAGGUGUAGUUUUUGCAUAACUCGGGAUUAGAGUAACACAUAAAAAUACCAAAGAAUUCCCAUGGAGAAUACAGAAGAGAACACUAAAUGUUAAGAGGAUUUCUAUCUCAAACAUCCAGAAUUGUUAAAAAUGGCCGAAACAAGAAAAGUGCCAGAAAAGCUUUCUCUGGUUUGUUUAUCUGACCUUGUUCAUUCUCAUUCUGGAGAUGAUGUUGUUCUGUCAUGUCGUCUUGAUCCACCUAUCAGUGCUGUUUCAAUUCCGUCAUUAUGAAGCUGGUCAGAUGACAG